rnacentral:rRNA from 1 species
CCUACGGGUGGCAGCAGUGGGGAAUAUUGGGCAAUGGGCGCAAGCCUGACCCAGCAACGCCGCGUGAAGGAAGAAGGCUUUCGGGUUGUAAACUUCUUUUCUCAGCGACGAAGCAAGUUACGGUACUUGAGGAAUAAGCUACGGCUAACUACGUGCCAACAGCCGCGGUAAUACGGAGGUGGCAAGCGUUAACCGGAUAUACUGGGUGUAAAGGGCGGGUAGGCGGGAAAUAAAGUCAGAUGUGAAAACCCUGGGCUCAACCUGUGGCCUGCAUUUGAAACUGUUUUUAUUGAGUACUGUAGAGGCAGACGGAAUUCCUAGUGUAGCGGUGAAAUGCGUAGAUAUUAGGAGGAACACCAGAGGCGAAGGCAGUCUGCUGGACAGCAACUGACGCUGAGGCGCGAAAGCGUGGGGAGCAAACAGGAUUAGAUACCCGGGUAGUC